CUGGAGAGUGGGCUCUGGCUUCGACACGCCCCCUGGGAACAGCGCCUUUUCGUUUCCUGACCAGUGCAGAGCCAGCAGAGCCGGUGACACCCCCACGCACUGCAGGCAGAGGAUGGUGGGACAGUCGGAGGAGGCUGCAAUGGGAUAUCGGACGUGACCCUCCCUCCUGCUUCUGGGCCAGGCAUCUGCUGGCACCCCAGACCCAAUCCCCUCUCUCUGCUGCCACCUGGGGACUGAGCUGUGACCCGCCGCUGUGGAGGUGGGGGCUCCCUCCCCAACCGUGU
rnacentral:lncRNA from 1 species